rnacentral:rRNA from 1 species
GACGAACCGUGCGAACGUUUGUUCGGAAUCACUGGGCUUAAAGGGCGCGUAGGCGGGUUUGCAAGUCUGCGGUGAAAGCCUCCAGCUUAACUGGAGAAGUGCCGUGGAUACUGCGGACCUCGAGGAGGGUAGGGGCAUCUGGAACGUUGGGUGGAGCGGUGAAAUGCGUUGAUAUCCAACGGAACUCCGGUGGCGAAGGCGAGGUGCUGGACCCUUUCUGACGCUGAGGAGGCGAAAGCGUGGGGAGCAACAGG